AACAUAUAAAACGUAUUGAAAGCUAACAGUUGUAUCACACAAGCGUUAUUCGUGGUAUAUAAUAAUAAUAUGUUGCUGUCAUAUGUGCUUAUCAUUUUAAGACCUUAGUAGUUUUGUUCAAGUACCUAGCAUAUUAUGUGCGCUAUGGCCAGAUAGAAAAUAGACAUAUUAUUGUGUAACAAAUAAAAUAUAUGUUUUCGGAGUGCGUCGUAAACUUAUGUGAUUCGUUUGCACGGACGAUAUCCGUUCGAAUGAUUUGGUGUCGGGUGACACGAUUUAUUUAAAGAAAAAUUGUAAAAAACCUUCGUCUAAAACAUGUAAAAAUUCAAAACCAUACGGAGGUACCUACGUCACAAUGCGCAAGGACGUGUGACGUAAAUCUGUGGCACAUCAACACGCAUGUUUUGUCUCCGUCUCACAAAAUAUGCACAACACGGAAAAUCGUACUAUCACAAUAAAACAUUUCGCUAUGUAUAUUUAUACAAUUAUCGUAAAUCGACCGGGUAUGCGGUUUACAAGUUUUUGAGUCCCACAGCGUUGUACUCGAUUUCAUAUUUUAGUAAGCGCGUCUUUUCUAAGUCACGUACAGCGGCUCAAACAAUCUCCCCUCCCUCGAAAAAAAAUCAAUUAAUUUAUACAAAUAAAUCAUAUUUUGCGAAGUCUGCAUUUUUCAAGCGAAGAAGACCCCACACUGUAUAAAACAAGUAUGGGAUUAAAAUUGAUUUAAUUCUAUGACGUUAUUCCAGAAAAAUAUUUUAUAUAAUUAUGUAAUAUGUAACAAAAAUCAGUUAUCAAAUGCAUUGUUACGUUUCAUAUUCAAAGCUGAGACAGUAAUGCAUU